GAAUGGCAAACCAAGGAUCCGAAGUUAAUCCCAUAUCAGAAGUACCUACUGAAAUUGAUCAAGAAAUUUGAAGAAAUUUCUUUCACUCACCUCAGUCGGGACAAAAAUCAAUUCGCGGAUGCCUUAGCCACCCUGGCUGUCAUGGCUCAAAUGGAAGAGGGGCAGACGACUCAGGUAUUGAGGAUCAAAGCAAGGGGUGAGCCAGCUUACUGUUUCAUGGCCAAGGAAGAAAUUGAUGGCAAACCCUAGUACCAUGAUAUCCAGCUCUACAUCAAAACCAAGGAAUACCCUCCAGGGGCAAGAAGAAACGAAAAGAGAAUGAUCAGGAGAUUAGCUUUGGGAUACUUCCCCAGUGGUGAAAUUCUGUGCAAAAGGAGCUCCAAUGGCGAACUGUUGAGAUGCGUGGAUGCGAAAGAAGCAAGGAA
rnacentral:misc_RNA from 1 species